rnacentral:rRNA from 1 species
GAACGCUAGCGACAGGCUUAACACAUGCAAGUCGAGGGGCGAGCACGGGAGUAGCAAUACAACUGGUGGCGACCGGCGCACGGGUGAGUAACGCGUAUGCAACCUACCUAUCAGAGGGGAAUAACCCGGCGAAAGUCGGACUAAUACCGCAUAAACAGGGGCACCGCAUGGUGAUAUUUGUUAAAGAGAUUCGCUGAUAGAUGGGCAUGCGUUCCAUUAGGUAGUUGGUGAGGUAACGGCUCACCAAGCCGACGAUGGAUAGGGGAACUGAGAGGUUGGUCCCCCACACUGGUACUGAGACACGGACCAGACUCCUACGGGAGGCAGCAGUGAGGAAUAUUGGUCAAUGGGCGGGAGCCUGAACCAGCCAAGUCGCGUGAAGGAAGAAGGAUCUAUGGUUCGUAAACUUCUUUUGCAGGGGAAUAAAGUGCAGGACGUGUCCUGUUUUGUAUGUACCCUGAGAAUAAGGAUCGGCUAACUCCGUGCCAGCCGCCGC